GGCCGGCCGCGCAGGCGCACUGACAGCUCAGGCCUUGGGGCCAGGCAGGCCACCCACUUCAGGCCCCCAACCCCCGGUCCCGGCGCAGGCGCAGUGACCGCCCAAUGACCCCUAGCCCCACCCGCGCGUUUACGCUAAAGCGAGUGAGUAGAAGCAGAAAUGAGGGUGGUGUUGAUAAGGGCGGGGGCCGGGAAAGAGUGUGCCCAGGACAUCCCGCUACAGUCCAGAGCAGGGGCUCUUCUGGUGAACUGAACUUCACACUUGAAACUGAUUAUUGUUGGACAUUACAUGGUGUCAGAAGUGGGAGCCAAAGUGGGAGCCAAAGUGACUACCCCUGGAGCUGCUGCAGGCACAAGUAAGGCACCUACAGGAGUCCUUUGUACUCAAUCGUCUCCUCAGUGGUCUUGGGUCUUAGAGGUGAGAAGAUCUGCUCCAAAACAGAAACAGGAAAUGAGAAUGUUUCACAUGGCAAAGGAAGAGAGAAGCUUAAGGAAGACAGCCCAGGACUUCCCAGAAUACGGAGGAUAUAAAUCUGUCACCUCAAGAUUAAUAUCAAAAGACACAGUAUAGCUUACAGAUUAAAAUUGAGCUGUAGUCCAUCCAAGGGUGAAUGGAUAAACAAAAUGUGGUCUAUACACACAAUAGAAUAUUACUCAUCCUUAAAAAGAAGGAAAUUCUGACACAUGCUACAACAUGCAUGAACCUUGACGAUAUUAUGCUAAGUGAAAUAAGCCAGGCACAAAAGCAAAAAUACUGUAUGAUUUCACUUAGAUGAAGUAUCGAAAGUAGUCAAAAUAAUAGAAACAGAACGUAGAAUGGUGGUUGCCAGGGGCAGGGAGGGAGGGGAAAAAGGGAGUUGUUGUUUAAUGGGUAUAGAGUUUCAGUUUUGCAAGAUUUUUGAAAAAGUUCUGGAGAUUGGUUGCACAACAAUGUGAAUGUUAAUGCCACUAAACUGUAUACUUAAAAUGAUUAAAUGGUAAGUUUUAUACAUAUUUUACCACACAAAAACCCCCUAAUUUCAUUGAAUUAAAAAAAAAAAUUGGGGAACCAGAGUGCUUGGGUUUGACUCUUGAGACCUUGGGCAAGUUACUUAAAAUCUAUGAGCUCUAAUUUCCUCCUCUGUAAAGUUUUGUUACAGGGCUUUAUGAGAAUUGAGUCUGGCACAUAGAAAAUGCUUAAUACAUGUGAGAUAUAAUUAUUAUAAAAAGCAACCCUGGGACUUCCCUGGUGGUCCAGUGGUUAGGACUCCGUGCUUCCACUGCAGGGGGCGAGGGUUUGACCCUUGGUCGGGGAAUUAAGCUCCCGCAUGCCGCGCAGUGCGGCAAAAAAAAACCCCAAAAUCAAGACAAACCAACCCCCAAAAUAAAAACAAAAAAUGUCCCUAAGCCUCUUUCUUCAAUUCACGAAUUUGACAAAUGUCAAGCCCAUACUUCCUUCAAUGCAUCAUUCUACACUCUGGGAAAACUACAGAAAAAAUGUUCCACCUACAUGGAGCUUAAUUACUAGUGGUGGAUUCAGAUAAUACAUGAGUAGAUUAUAAAUUCUGGGAAGAAAAAUAAAACAUGUUAAGAGUAUAGGAAAGGCUGGGAAGUGCUGUGACCUGACACUUGAGCAGAACCCAAAUGAAGUAAGGAGCCUGUGGGGUACUCCACUGUGUAAUGAAUAUCUACUAUUUUAACAACCUUGUAUCAUAAUGUUAUAGAUUAAAUACUGCCUAAUUCUUAACUUUGCAAACAUUAGCCUCACUAAACAAAAUUUAUUCCAAAUGCCAGUAUCUGAAACAAAUUCAGCAAAGAAAUAAAAAAAAUCCAAAACCUUUCAA